GGAGUCUGGGCCGUGUCUCAGUCCCAAUGUGGCCGUCCGCCCUCUCAGGCCGGCUACCGAUCGUCGCUUUGGUGGGCCUUUACCCCGCCAUCUUGCUAAUCAGACGCAGGCCCAUCCCAUACCGAUAAAUCUUUGACAGUCCCAACAUGCGAUAAAACUGUGUUAUGAGGUAUUAAUUACCGUUUCCAGUAGCUAUCCCUUUGUAUGGGGCAGGUUGCCUACGCGUUACUCACCCGUCCGCCGCUUUCCACUCGAUCACUCAUCCGAAGAAUCGUUCACGAGCUUCUCGCUCGACUUGCAUGUGUUAAGCACGCCGCCAGCGUUCAUC
rnacentral:rRNA from 1 species